rnacentral:rRNA from 1 species
GAAUACGUUCCCGGGUCUUGUACACACCGCCCGUCACACCAUGGGAGCCGACAACGCCCGAAGUCAGUGACCUAACCGAGAGGGAGGAGCUGCCGAAGGCGGGGUUGGUAACUGGGGUGAAGUCGUAACAAGGUAUC